rnacentral:rRNA from 1 species
CGCGUGUACUGGUCCGGCCGGGCCUUUCCCUCUGUGGAACCCCAUGCCCUUCACUGGGUGUGGCGGGGAAACAGGACUUUUACUGUGAAAAAAUUAGAGUGCUCCAGGCAGGCCUAUGCUCGAAUACAUUAGCAUGGAAUAAUAGAAUAGGACGUGUGGUUCUAUUUUGUUGGUUUCUAGGACCGCCGUAAUGAUUAAUAGGGACAGUCGGGGGCAUCAGUAUUCAAUUGUCAGAGGUGAAAUUCUUGGAUUUAUUGAAGACUAACUACUGCGAAAGCAUUUGCCAAGGAUGUUUUCAUUAAUCAGGAACGAAAGUUAGGGGAUCGAAGACGAUCAGAUACCGUCGUAGUCUUAACCAUAAACUAUGCCGACUAGGGAUCGGACGGUGUUAUAUUUUGACCCGUUCGGCACCUUACGAGAAAUCAAAGUGCUUGGGCUCCAGGGGGAGUAUGGUCGCAAGGCUGAAACUUAAAGAAAUUGACGGAAGGGCACCACCAGGGGUGGAGCCUGCGGCUUAAUUUGACUCAACACGGGGAAACUCACCAGGUCCAGACACAAUGAGGAUUGACAGAUUGAGAGCUCUUUCUUGAUUUUGUGGGUGGUGGUGCAUGGCCGUUCUUAGUUGGUGGAGUGAUUUGUCUGCUUAAUUGCGAUAACGAACGAGACCUUAACCUGCUAAAUAGCCCGUAUUGCUUUGGCAGUACGCUGGCUUCUUAGAGGGACUAUCGG